rnacentral:rRNA from 1 species
ACAGCAGUCGCCACGGGAAUACGUAGGUGGCAAGCGUUGUCCGGAAUUAUUGGGCGUAAAGGGCUCGCAGGCGGUUUCUUAAGUCUGAUGUGAAAGCCCCCGGCCCAACCGGGGAGGGUCAUUGGAAACUGGGAAACUUGAGUGCAGAAGAGGAGAGUGGAAUUCCACGUGUAGCGGUGAAAUGCGUAGAGAUGUGGAGGAACACCAGUGGCGAAGGCGACUCUCUGGUCUGUAACUGACGCUGAGGAGCGAAAGCGUGGGGAGCGAACAGGAUUAGAUACCCGCGUAGUCCCUGUCUCUUAUAA